GCCAGCAUGGUGUAGUGGUUUGAGCAUUAGACUAUGACUCUGGAAACCAGGAUUCAAAUCCCUGCUUGGCC
rnacentral:tRNA from 1 species